UACGUAGGGCGCAAGCGUUAUCCGGAGUUAUUGGGCGUAAAGAGCUCGUAGGCGGUUUGUCGCGUCUGCCGUGAAAGUCCGGGGCUUAACUCCGGAUCUGCGGUGGGUACGGGCAGACUUGAGUGAUGUAGGGGAGACUGGAAUUCCUGGUGUAGCGGUGAAAUGCGCAGAUAUCAGGAGGAACACCGAUGGCGAAGGCAGGUCUCUGGGCAUUAACUGACGCUGAGGAGCGAAAGCAUGGGGAGCGAACAGG
rnacentral:rRNA from 1 species